rnacentral:tRNA from 1 species
GUCCUUUACUUAGGAUCAAGUAAAGGCAUCUGUCAGUCAGGGUUUACCUGGCGCGCCGUCAACAUAUCCCUUUCUACAACGGAUCCGGGUUUACCUGUGUGAAUACAUGGGUUUUUUCCCUGAGGAUGGUUUUGGGCUAGUAGCUCAGUUGGUUAGAGCACACGCUUGAUAAGCGUGGGGUCGGAGGUUCAAGUCCUCCCUGGCCCACCAGAAGAUGAGGGGGCGUAGCUCAGCUGGGAGAGCACCUGCUUUGCAAGCAGGGGGUCGUCGGUUCGAACCCGUCCGCCUCCACCAUAUCUGUUGAUGUCUUAGCGAAUGAGAUGUCCGGUUUUGGUGAUGGAUCCGUUGUUAGGGAGUUUGUAUUGAACUUUCUGUAGCCUGAGUGCUUUGCGCCUGGCUGUAGAGAUGUUCGAUGGUUGGUCUUUGUCAGUGUGAAUCGGUUGGUGCGUGUCUGGGCGUGCUGUUUUUCUGUGGGUUGGUCUGACCCAUCUGGUCUGGUUUAUCUGGGCUGGGUGUAAACAGGAAGCAGCGUUGAGCGUUCAGACGCGUGAGAAGAAUAGAGUGCGUGCUUGCUGCAUGGCAUGGAUGGUUUCUGUGCAUGGUGCGAGUGAGCGCGAUAAGGGCAUUCGGUGAUG